GAUCAGGUGGCCGAGUGGUUAAGGCGAUGGACUGCUAAUCCAUUGGGGUUUCCCCGCGUGAGUUCGAAUC
rnacentral:tRNA from 1 species